AUUGAACGCUGGCGGCAGGCCUAACACAUGCAAGUCGAACGGCAGCGGGGGAUAGCUUGCUAUCCUGCCGGCGAGUGGCGGACGGGUGAGUAAUGCAUGGGGAGCUGCCCAAUCGAGGGGGAUAACAACUGGAAACGGUUGCUAAUACCGCAUACGCCCUGCGGGGGAAAGGUGGGGACCUUCGGGCCUACCGCGAUUGGAUGCACCCAUGUGGGAUUAGCUGGUUGGUGAGGUAACGGCUCACCAAGGCGACGAUCUCUAGCUGGUCGGACAGGAGGACCAGCCGGACUGGAACUGAGACACGGGUCAAACUCCUACGGGAGGCAGCAGUGGGGAAUAUUGCACAAUGAGAGAAAGCCUGAUGCAGCCAUGCCGCGUGUGUGAAGAAGACCUUCGGGUUGUAAAGCACGGUCAGUGGGGAGGAAGGGUUGAUGACUAAUAUUCAUCAGCAUUGACGUUACCCACAGAAGAAGCACCGGCUAACUCCGUGCCAGCCGCCGCGGUAACAC
rnacentral:rRNA from 1 species